UAUAUAUAUAAUAUUAAUAGAAACAACUUUUUAUUUAGUAAUUUUUAGUGAAUUAAUAAAUUUUAUUUAUAGUUAAUUAUACUGUGAAGGUUAAUUAUAACAAAAUAUAUAAGUAAAAUUUAUUUUUUGUACCUUUUGUAUCAGGGUUUAUUAAAAUUUAAUAAUUAAUAUUAAUACUCCCGAAAAUAGAAGAGAUAUUUAUUUUUGUUAUUUAAUGUAUUAAAUUUAUUAAAAAAAUAUAAAUAGAGGUUAUAUACUAUUCAAUUUUAUAUAUCUGGUUUCUUAAGAAUUGAAUUUAAUUCAGGAUUGAAAAUUAUAAUUAAAUAAUUUUAUUUUUAUUAUAUAAUUUAAUCUAAAAUUUAUGGGGAUAAGCUCAUGAAUUUGUUUAUAGUCUUAAUUUUUUUAUAAAUUCUGUAGGAUUAAAAAUUUCCGUCAUUUUAUUUUGUUAUAAUUAAAUUUGAAUUAUACUUUAUUUAAAAAGGGCUUAAAUAAAUAUUAAGAAUAAUUAAUUAAUAUUUAAUUAAUUGGUAUAAUGAUAAAAUUAGUAAAUAAAAAAUUAAUUGAUAUAUAGUAAUUCGGCAAAAUUAUUCUUCACCUGUUUAACAAAAACAUGUCCUGAUGACACAAAUAUAUUAGGUUUAGCCUGCUCAAUGAAUAUUAUUAAAUAGCCGCAGUAUUUUGACUGUGCGAAGGUAGCAUAAUCAUUUGUCUUUUAAUUGAAGACUUGUAUGAAGGGUUGGAUGAGGGAAUAACUUUCUUUAUAUCAUAAAUUUGAAUUUAAUUUUUAGGUUAAAAAGCUUAAAUUAUUAAAAGGGACGAGAAGACCCUAUAGAAUUUUAUUUUAUUAUUAUUUACAUAUAUCUUGGUUAUUAUAAUUUUAAAUAAUAAUAAAAAUUUUGUUGGGGUGAUGGUGAGAUUUUUUUAACUCUUAUAAUUUAUUUAUUGUUAAUUAUCAUAUUUAUGAUCCUAUUUUAUGGAUAACUAGAUUAAAUUACCUUAGGGAUAACAGCGUUAUUUUUCUGGAGAGUUCAUAUCGAUAGAAAAGUUUGCGACCUCGAUGUUGGAUUAAAAUUAAAUUUAAGUGCAGAAGCUUAAUUUUUAGGUCUGUUCGACCUUUAAAGUUUUACAUGAUCUGAGUUCAGACCGGCGUGAGCCAGGUCGGUUUCUAUCUUUUUAUUUUUAUUAGUAAAUUAGUACGAAAGGACCAUUUACUUCAAUGAUUAUUGUUUAAGUGAAUUUGAAUAUU
rnacentral:rRNA from 1 species